rnacentral:rRNA from 1 species
AAUUUUGGACAAUGGGGGAAACCCUGAUCCAGCCAUCCCGCGUGUAUGAUGAAGGCCUUCGGUUUGUAAAGUACUUUUCGCAGAGAAGAAAAUGUACCUCCUAAUACGAGGUACUGCUGACGGUAUCUGCAGAUUAAGCACUGGCUAACUACGUGCCUGCAGCCGCGGUAAUACGUAGGGUGCAAGCGUUAAUCGGAAUUACUGGGCGUAAAGCGUGUGUAGGCGGUUCGGAAAGAAAGAAGUGAAAUCCCAGGGCUCAAACUUGGAACUGCAUUUUUAACUGCCGAGCUAGAGUAUGUCAGAGGGGGGUAGAAUUCCACGUGUAGCAGUGAAAUGCGUAGAUAUGUGGAGGAAUACCGAUGGCGAAGGCAGCCCCCUGGGAUAAUACUGACGCUCAGACACGAAAGCGUGGGGAGCAAACAG